rnacentral:rRNA from 1 species
UAGGGAAUCUUCCGCAAUGGACGAAAGUCUGACGGAGCAACGCCGCGUGAGUGAUGAAGGUUUUCGGAUCGUAAAGCUCUGUUGUUAGGGAAGAACAAGUGCCGUUCAAAUAGGGCGGCACCUUGACGGUACCUAACCAGAAAGCAACGGCUAACUACGUGCCAGCAGCCGCGGUAAUACGUAGGUGGCACGCGUUGUCCGGAAUUAUUGGGCGUAAAGGGCUCGCAGGCGGUUUCUUAAGUCUGAUGUGAAAGCCCCCGGCUCAACCGGGGAGGGUCAUUGGAAACUGGGGAACUUGAGUGCAGAAGAGGAGAGUGGAAUUCCACGUGUAGCGGUGAAAUGCGUAGAGAUGUGGAGGAACACCAGUGGCGAAGGCGACUCUCUGGUCUGUAACUGACGCUGAGGAGCGAAAGCGUGGGGAGCGAACA